CCCAACUGACACAACAAAACACCUCCAAUAUGCAACAGGAAAGGCAGAAUGAACCACUUCUGGCUCCUUAACAACACCUGGCCAGGUGAUCAGAGAAGGCAAGGAUGUGAGUGAUAUUCAGUCAGCAUGAGAGACAGCUCAGUACCAUCAGGAACAUUGUUCAAUGCCAUCCUACAUCCUUAUGGUAGGCACAGCCCAACAUCAAGUUCUUUAAAGGGACAUGAAAGGCAAUCCUUGCCUCCCCAGAAGCAGUUUGGAGCAACAAGCUGCAUUCUUUCUUCUUCUGCCUGCCUCAGAGGAAGCAACAGCUUGACAGGCAGAGACCUGAAGCACAGAGCCAAUAAAGCCAAAGCAUACACAGCAUUUUCAGUCUUGAGCACCUACAAAAAUAUCAUUGGCACCAAACAUGGACUUCAGAGACCCAGUAUAGGGAAUAAGGACU